rnacentral:misc_RNA from 1 species
UUGUCAAUGUUGUUUUAUAAGAAGACACUGCCUGUACGAAGGUCAAAGAGAUUUCUGAUUCAAAUGAAUUCUUGGGGCUUUACAAAGUAAUAGAAUCAAACUCACAUGCUGGAUAACUUAAAUGUUCCAUGUGUUAUCGAUCUUGAGAGAAGGGAACAAAAAGAAACAAUUGGAAAAAGAACAAGAACAUGAUUUUAAUUGGUGUGAAAAGUUCCAGAGACAAAAUAUUUUUCCAUGAUCAUACUGUCUGUAAAUGUUGUUUUAUAAGAAGACACUGCCUGUACGAAGGUCAAAGAGAUUUCUGAUUCAAAUGAAUUCUUGGGGCUUUACAAAGUAAUAGAAUCAAACUCACAUGCUGGAUAACUUAAAUGUUCCAUGUGUUAUCGAUCUUGAGAGAAGGGAACAAAAAGAAACAAUUGGAAAAAGAACAAGAACAUGAUUUUAAUUGGUGUGAAAAGUUCCAGAGACAAAAUAUUUUUCCAUGAUCAUA